rnacentral:rRNA from 1 species
AUUGAACGCUGGCGGCAUGCUUUACACAUGCAAGUCGAACGGUAACAGGGUGCUUGCACCGCUGACGAGUGGCGAACGGGUGAGUAAUGCGUCGGAACGUGCCGAGUAGUGGGGGAUAACGCAGCGAAAGUCGUUCUAAUACCGCAUACGUACUGAGGUAGAAAGUGGGGGACCUUCGGGCCUCACGCUAUUCGAGCGGCCGACGUCUGAUUAGCUAGUAGGUGAGGUAAAGGCUCACCUAGGCGACGAUCAGUAGCGGGUCUGAGAGGAUGAUCCGCCACACUGGGACUGAGACACGGCCCAGACUCCUACGGGAGGCAGCAGUGGGGAAUUUUGGACAAUGGGCGAAAGCCUGAUCCAGCCAUGCCGCGUGUCUGAAGAAGGCCUUCGGGUUGUAAAGGACUUUUGUCAGGGAGGAAAUCCCUAGUGCUAAUAACACUGGGGGAUGACAGUACCUGAAGAAUAAGCACCGGCUAACUACGUGCCAGCAGCCGCAGUAA